GACGAACGCUGGCGGCGCGCCUAACACAUGCAAGUCGAACGGAGCUGAGAGAAGCUUGCUUUUCUUAGCUUAGUGGCGAACGGGUGAGUAACGCGUGAGUAACCUGCCCUGGAGUGGGGGACAACAGUUGGAAACGACUGCUAAUACCGCAUAAGCCCACGAUCCGGCAUCGGAUUGAGGGAAAAGGAUUUAUUCGCUUCAGGAUGGACUCGCGUCCAAUUAUCUAGUUGGUGAGGUAACGGCCCACCAAGGCGACGAUUGGUAGCCGGACUGAGAGGUUGAACGGCCACAUUGGGACUGAGACACGGCCCAGACUCCUACGGGAGGCAGCAGUGGGGGAUAUUGCACAAUGGGGGAAACCCUGAUGCAGCGACGCCGCGUGGAGGAAGAAGGUUUUCGGAUUGUAAACUCCUGUCGUUAGGGACGAUAAUGACGGUACCUAACAAGAAAGCACCGGCUAACUACGUG
rnacentral:rRNA from 1 species